ensembl:snoRNA SNORA74 Small nucleolar RNA SNORA74
CGCAGCAGUAGGCAACUGCUUAGGGUGCCUUACACCUAGACAAGUGUCACACUGCUGGGAGAAAAGCAGUCAACAGUUGGUGGGAAUUCUGGGCCUGGUUAAUGUCAAAUU